CCAGACUCCUACGGGAGGCAGCAGUGGGGAAUAUUGGACAAUGGGGGAAACCCUGAUCCAGCGACGCCGCGUGAGUGAAGAAGUAUUUCGGUACGUAAAGCUCUAUCAGCAGGAAAGAAAAUGACGGUACCUGACUAAGAAGCCCCGGCUAACUACGUGCCAGCAGCCGCGGUAAUACGUAUGGGGCAAGCGUUAUCCGGAUUUACUGGGUGUAAAGGGAGCGUAGGCGGCAGGGCAAGCCUGAUGUGAAAGGCCGGGGCUCAACCCCGGGACUGCAUUGGGAACUGCCCCGCUCGAGUGCCGGAGGGGCAGGCGGAAUUCCUAGUGUAGCGGUGAAAUGCGUAGAUAUUAGGAGGAACACCAGUGGCGAAGGCGGCCUGCUGGACGGUGUACUGACGCUGAGGCUCGAAAGCGUGGGGAGCAAACAGGAUUAGAUACCCUGGUAC
rnacentral:rRNA from 1 species